AUCGAAGGGGUGUGAGUAGCAUUAUAAUUUUUCGUAUUAUAGGUCUCUUUGGAGUUUCGGUG
rnacentral:tRNA from 1 species